GAUGAACGCUGGCGGCGUGCCUAAUACAUGCAAGUCGAGCGAACAGACAAGGAGCUUGCUCCUCUGACGUUAGCUUCACAUGGGUUAGUAACCCGACGAUUACCUACCUAUAAGACUACCUUCCCUUCGCAAAACCGUAGCUAAUACCAGAUAAUAUUUUUAACCUCAUGGUUAUUUAUUAAAAGACGUUUUUGCUGUCACUUUUCGAUGGAUACGCGCCGCCUGAGCUCGUUGGUAAGAUAACGGCUUACGAAGGCAACGAUGAGUAGCCGACCUGAGAGGGUGAUCGGGCACACUGGAACUGAGACACGAUCGAGACACCUACGGGAGGCAGCAGUAGGAAAUCUUACGCGAGGGGGGAAAGGGUGACGGAGCAAAGCCGAGUGAGUGAUGAAGGUGUUAGGAUCGUAAAACGCUGUUAUUAGGGAAUAACAAAUGUGUAAGUAAAUAUGCACGACAUGACGGUACCUAAUCAGAAAGCCACGGCUAACUACGUG
rnacentral:rRNA from 1 species